UACGUAGGCAGCAAACGUUGUUCGGAGUUACUGGGCGUAAAGAGUACGUAGGCGGUUUGCCAAGUUUGGUGUGAAAUCUCCUGGCUUAACUGGGAGGGUGCGCCGAAUACUGGCGGGCUUGAGUAUUGGAGAGGAAAGCGGAAUUCCUGGUGUAGCGGUGAAAUGCGUAGAUAUCAGGAGGAACACCGGUGGUGUAGACGGCUUUCUGGACAAUCACUGACGCUGAGGUACGAAAGCGUGGGGAGCGAACAGG
rnacentral:rRNA from 1 species